GGAUCCAGACUUUGAUCAUGGCUCAGGACGAACGCUGGCGGCGUGCUUAACACAUGCAAGUCGAACGAUGAAGUUAUGACGGAUGCUUCGGCCGACAGAAUAAUGGAAUAGUGGCGGACGGGUGAGUAACGCGUGAGUAACCUGCCUUUCAUAGAGGAAUAACAUUUGGAAACGAAUGGUAAUACCACAUAACAUUACGUUCUCCCAUGGGGAUGUAAUCAAAGAUUUUAUCGCUGAAAGAUGGACUCGCGUCCGAUUAGCUGGAUGGUGAGGUAACGGCCCACCAUGGCGACGAUCGGUAACCGGACUGACAGGUUGAACGGCCACAUUGGGACUGAGACACGGCCCAGACUCCUACGGGAGGCAACAGUGGGGAAUAUUGCACAAUGGGGGAAACCCUGAUGCCCAGCGCCACGUGAAGGAAGACGGUCUUCGGAUUGUAAACUUUUGUUCUUGGUGAAGAAAAAUGACGGUAGCCAAGGAGGAAGCCACGGCUAACUACGUGCCAGCAGCCGCGGUAAUACGUAGGUAGCAAGCGUUGUCCGGAAUUACUGGGUGUAAAGGGAGCGCACGCGAGAAAUCGAGUUGGAUGUGAAAUGUCGGGGCUUAACCCC
rnacentral:rRNA from 1 species